AUGUUUGAAUAGUUUGGCCAUAUCAUCUACGAGUGUGGUGCAUACUAGGUUGAGGAGAUUGAGAAGGGGAAAACAUAUGUCGCAAUCCAUUCUAAUGCAGCUCGUAGAGAGAAGUGGUGCAGAAUUUCAUACAAGGUGACCGUGAUGGAUGGUGGCGACGAGUUUGAUUGUGAAUGCGGUCAAUUUUCCCACAUGGGCCUCCUCUGCAGCCAUGUACUCAAGGUGUGA
rnacentral:rRNA from 1 species